rnacentral:rRNA from 1 species
UUCCAGACUCCUACGGAGGCAGCAGUGAGGAAUAUUGGUCAAUGGGCGGGAGCCUGAACCAGCCAAGUCGCGUGAGGGAAGACGGUCCUAUGGAUUGUAAACCUCUUUAGGCGGGGAGCAAUGCCGGGCACGUGUGCCCGGAGGGAGAGUACCCGCAGAAUAAGCAUCGGCUAACUCCGUGCCAGCAGCCGCGGUAAUACGGGGGAUGCGAGCGUUAUCCGGAUUUAUUGGGUUUAAAGGGUGCGUAGGCGGCGCUUCAGGUCAGCGGUGAAAUACCGGGGCUCAACCCCGGGGCUGCCGUUGAAACCGGAGCGCUAGAAUUCCGAUGCCGUCGGAGGAAUGUGUGGUGUAGCGGUGAAAUGCAUAGAUAUCACACAGAACACCGAUUGCGAAGGCAUCUGACGAAUCGGAGAUUGACGCUGAUGCACGAAAGCGUGGGUAUCGAACAGGAUUAGAUACCCUCGUA